rnacentral:rRNA from 1 species
GACGAACGCUGGCGGCGUGCUUAACACAUGCAAGUCGAACGGUGAAGCGCCUUCCUUUUUGGUGGGUGUGGAUGAGUGGCGAACGGGUGAGUAACACGUGAGUAACCUGCCCCCUUCUUCUGGAUAACCGCAUGAAAGUGUGGCUAAUACGGGAUAUUCUGGGUCUGUCGCAUGAUGGGUCUGGGAAAGAUAUUGUUUCGGUGGGGGAUGGGCUCGCGGCCUAUCAGCUUGUUGGUGGGGUGAUGGCCUACCAAGGCGGUGACGGGUAGCCGGCCUGAGAGGGUGGACGGUCACACUGGGACUGAGACACGGCCCAGACUCCUACGGGAGGCAGCAGUGGGGAAUAUUGCACAAUGGGCGUAAGCCUGAUGCAGCGACGCCGCGUGAGGGAUGGAGGCCUUCGGGUUGUGAACCUCUUUCGCCAGUGAAGCAGGCCUGCCUCGUUUGUGGGUGGGUUGACGGUAGCUGGAUAAGAAGCGCCGGCUAACUACGUG